AUACUUACCUGGACAGGAUCAAUGAAUGAUAAAAAAGGCUCAUGGUCUAGGUUGGUGACUUCCAUUCACUUAGGAGGGGUCCCCAUUUAAGGUCGGCCCAAGUGGUCGAGCCUACGUCAUAAAUUGUGACAGUGGGGCAGCGUUCGCAUGGUCUCCUC